UCACCCAUUGGGAAGAUAU
rnacentral:snRNA from 1 species